GGAGACUCCUAUUCCCCUCACAGAGUUACAAUUCUCAGAGUGGUUUAACAAUCAAUCUAUUUUACAGGGAACUCUGGGAAUUGUAGCUUUGUGAGAGGAACAGGGGUCUC